rfam:Myotis brandtii contig297996, whole genome shotgun sequence.
GGCGGUUCUCGGGUGAUGCACUCUGGAAUCAGGACCCCUCCUCUCUGGUUCCGGAUACAUUACUUGCGAACCACA